CCUCUCUCUUCCGAUCGAGAAGACCGUCUCGCUCGUUCUCGUCCCGUUCCAACAGCUUUCUCCUCUCUGUCUGCACCCUCUUCUCCUCCUUUGCCUGUCCGUCAAAAAAUUCAAUCAGCAACGAUCUGCAGU
rnacentral:ribozyme from 1 species